rnacentral:lncRNA from 1 species
UCCGUAUUUUGGCCCUGUUUUCCUCAUUCAAAAAAUCAGACAUUCCAAGAAAGUUUCUUAAGUUCCAUCUUGGGUCACUUCAGCAGGCCGAUAGGAUCAACAUUUCUAAGCAGUAAGUGUAUCAUGAAAUAGAGAGUGGCCUACCUGUGAUUUGAGCUUAUUCACCAGAAAUGUAGAUUGUUGUUCAAUGUUCUUAAACUGAAAGAAGCUUGGUUUGUGUUUCAGUGGUUGUAUUAGUAAAUGGUGUUAACAUUUUGCCCAGGUUAGGAUGGGGGUGGUUGCUACAGUGGCAAAUGGUGAUACUAAAUAUCAGUGGAUGGCUUAUCUGUAUUUCAUUGAAGUAACAAAUGAUAAUACUGUUGUGGGUGUCAGUAUUGCCUAGCAUUAACACUUGGAUAUAGAAAUUUUUUUUCUUUUUUUCUUUUUUUUGUGUGUAUGGUAUUUUACAAGAAAGCAGCUUUUUCUUAAAAGUUCACUCUUUGGAACCUUGCUUGUCUAAGGAGCUGUCUUCUCUACUGUGUCAGGUCCUAGAUGAGUGCAAGUCAUGGUCACAGCUGAUCUUCAUUCAUAACCAUUCCCUCUCCAUCAGAACUGUUUGUCCUAAAUAUGUUUUUUUUUUUUUAAUUCUUCCACUAAUUUAAAAACCCUUGGUCAUUAGGUUUGCCCAGAGGCACUUGUUCCAGGAUUGUUCAUCCUGCUUUAGCCAUGCCCUUGUCACUUGGCAUUCUAAACUGAAACUGCUACUACUGCACAAUGCACAAUGUACAGGCCAACCUCAUCAGAUAUGGAAGAGAUGCUCAACCUGUAAUCCCAAGGAAGUAGUUUUCUAACUAUGGGAGGGGAUGGAUUUUAUGCUCCCUCAGUAGCCAGAUAGAAGUGGGGGGUAGGUUUUAGCUAAAUGAUGUUUGAUUAAGCAGACUUUUGGUUAUAGAGAGACUCU